CUGGAGAAGAAUCUCUUUCUGGAGGUUCCUCCUUGGUAAAGCUUUCCCUUCAAAGCUAGACUUUUCUAAUACAGGUGAGGUUCAAAUCACAGGACAAGAAGAGUGUACUCCAAAAAUAAAAGCAGACUGGCUCAUGCUGUCCAGCAAAUUCCUACAUGAAAGCAGGAGGAUUUCAGGGUUGAACAGCAAAGACUGAUGAACAUCACUGACAGUAGAAGUUGUAAUCACAUGAGAAAAUAAAGAGGAAAGGAAGAGGAGACAAACAGCUCUGAGUGCCUUAAUAAACAAGGCUUUUCUUUCUGUUGUAAGCGUGUAAGGCCCUCAGUUCCGUAUACGUGUUGGGGAUGUUUGCAGUGCAUCAAUUACAACUGCUAGAUGCAGAGCUACAACAGCCUAGGAGUUACAGUGGGGUGGCUCUGGUUGCCCUGAGCUGUGCUGUAGGUGAACUGCUCACACACGGAAUUUAAUUCAUGAAGAUUCAUUUUUCUUCAAAUGCUUAUUGAACACUGUUAGCAGCUUCUUUGCUAAGC